UAGGGCCAUAUCACAUUGAAACAUUGGUUCCCGUACGAUCAUUGAAGUUAAGCAACGUUGAGCCUGGUCAGUACCCAGAUGGGUAACCGCGUGUGAAUACCAGGUGCUGUAA